GAUGAAGAACGCAGUGAAAUGCGAUAAUUAAUGUGAAUUGCAGAAUUCCGUGAAUCAUCGAGCCUUUGAACGCACAUUGCGCCUCAUGGCAUUCCGUGAGGCAUGCCCAUCUCAGCGUUAGAAAAUAUUCUCAAAUUUUAGUUUUGUGCUAAAAUUUGGAUCAUGUCAAAGAAGCUAUUACUAUUAUUGUGAUCGCUCUUUGGAAAUUGAUAGGUCUUUGAGUUGCUACUCAUAGAACGUGAUGAAUCUUUCUUCGUUCUAUUGUAAUUCACUCUGGUAGUCCUAAAACUUGUAUGCCUGUGGCAUAUCUUGUAAUUUGACCUGAGAUUGGGUAGGGAUACCCGCUGAACUUAAGCAUAUCAAUAAGCGGAGGA
rnacentral:misc_RNA from 1 species